rnacentral:hammerhead_ribozyme from 3 species
AUCCAGCUGUCGAGUCUCAAAUAGGACAAGACGCACGUUCUGGAU